GUUGCAUGUGAUGACACUGUUUAGUGACCAAAGUCUGAUAGAAAUGACUGCUAU
rnacentral:snoRNA from 1 species